rnacentral:rRNA from 1 species
GCGGAUUAAUACUGUAUGAGGUCACACGAUGGCAUCAGACUGUGACGAAAGGUUUAGCGGACAGGGAUGGGGAUGCGUCCGAUUAGGUAGUCGGCGGGGUAACGGCCCACCGAGCCGACGAUCGGUAGGGGUUCUGAGAGGAAGGUCCCCCACAUUGGAACUGAGACACGGUCCAAACUCCUACGGGAGGCAGCAGUGAGGAAUAUUGGUCAAUGGACGUAAGUCUGAACCAGCCAAGUAGCGUGCAGGAUGACGGCCCUAUGGGUUGUAAACUGCUUUUAUGCGGGGAUAAAGUUAGGGACGCGUCCCUUUUUGCAGGUACCGCAUGAAUAAGGACCGGCUAAUUCCGUGCCAGCAGCCGCGGUAAUACGGAAGGUCCGGGCGUUAUCCGGAUUUAUUGGGUUUAAAGGGAGCGUAGGCCGGCUUUUAAGCGUGUUGUGAAAUGCCGCGGCUCAACCGUGGCACUGCAGCGCGAACUGGAGGCCUUGAGUGCGCGGGAGGUAGGCGGAAUUCGUGGUGUAGCGGUGAAAUGCUUAGAUAUCACGAAGAACUCCGAUUG